ACGUAGGAGACAAACGUUAUCCGGAGUUACUGGGCGUAAAGGGCGUGUAGGCGGUCUGUUAAGUCUGGCGUGAAAGCUCUCGGCUAAACCGGGAGAGGUCCUUGGAUACUGGCAGACUUGAGGGGGGUAGAGGAGAGUGGAAUUCCCGGUGUAGUGGUGAUAUGCGUAGAUAUCGGGAGGAACACCAGUGGCGAAGGCGGCUCUCUGGGCCCUACCUGACGCUGAGGCGCGAAAGCUAGGGGAGCAAACGGGA
rnacentral:rRNA from 1 species